CGCACUCGCCUCACCUGAGCCUGGGAGGAAAAUUCUUCCAAGGAUGAUCUCCCACUCAGAGCUGAGGAAGCUUUUCUACUCAGCAGAUGCUGUGUGUUUUGAUGUUGACAGCACGGUCAUCAGUGAAGAAGGAAUCGGGAGCUGGUAAGUCGCCUACAGGAGCGAAAUGUUCAGGUUUUCCUAAUAUCUAGUGGCUUUAGGAGUAUUGUAGAGCAUGUUGCUUCAAAGCUCAAUAUCCCAGCAACCAAUGUAUUUGCCAGUAGGCUGAAAUUCUACUUUAAUGGCAUUUGUCUUGGUUAUAAGAGGGCAGGGACCACAUCUUACUCUCCAGAAGCCCCGACAUUGUCCAGCUGAAUGGGUCCCCAGCAGUGGUGCAUGUACUGAUGCAGGAGAGUGCAGUGAGGGAUAGGAGGAAGCCAGGAGGCGAAGACGGGAGGAGGAUGCUUUCAUUGGAUUUGGAGGAAAUGUGAUCAGGCAACAAGUCAAGGAUAACACCAAAUGGUAUAUCACUGAUUUUGUAGAGCUGCUGGGAGAACCGGAAGAAUGACAUCCAUUGUCAUACGGCUCCAAACAACUUCAGAUGAAUUUUUACAAGUUACACAGAUUGAUACCGUUUGCUUACAAUUGCCUAUUACAACUUGAUAUAGAAAGUUGGUACAGAUGAUCUGCACUGUCAAGUAAACUACAGUUAGGACUCCUCAAAGAUUGGUUUGUUUGUUUGUUUUUAACUGUAGUUCCAGUAUUAUAUGAUGACUAUUGAUUUCCUGGAGAGUUUUGUAAUCUGAAUUCUUUAUGUAUAUUCCUAGCUAUAUUUCAUACAGAGUGUUUUAAGAGUGGAGAGUCAAUUAAACACCUUUACUCUUAGGAAUAUAGAUUCGGCAGCCUUCAGUGAAUAUUGGUUUUUUUCCCUUUGGUAUGUCAAUAAAAGUUUAUCCAUGUGUCAGAA